rnacentral:rRNA from 13 species
UUUGGCACAGCUUGUACAGUAUAGGUAGGAGCCUUUGAAACGUGAGCGCUAGCUUACGUGGAGGCGUUGGUGGGAUACUACCCUAGCUGUGUUGGCUUUCUAACCCGCACCACUUAUCGUGGUGGGAGACAGUGUCAGGCGGGCAGUUUGACUGGGGCGGUCGCCUCCCAAAGAGUAACGGAGGCGCGCGAAGGUUGGCUCAGAGCGGUCGGAAAUCGCUCGUUGAGUGCAAUGGCAUAAGCCUGCCUGACUGCGAGACUGACAAGUCGAGCAGAGUCGAAAGACGGCCAUAGUGAUCCGGUGGUCCCUCGUGGAAGGGCCAUCGCUCAACGGAUAAAAGCUACCCUGGGGAUAACAGGCUUAUCUCCCCCAAGAGUCCACAUCGACGGGGAGGUUUGGCACCUCGAUGUCGGCUCAUCACAUCCUGGGGCUGAAGCCGGUCCCAAGGGUAUGGCUGUUCGCCAUUUAAAGUGGUACGCGAGCUGGGUUUAGAACGUCGUGAGACAGUUCGGUCCCUAUCUGCCGUGGGCGUUGGAAAUUUGAAGGGGGCUGCUCCUAGUACGAGAGGACCGGAGUGGACG